CGGGCGGCGGCGAGCAGGGCCCGAGCGGCCCUUGUGUGGCCGUCGGCCCCGUCUGCCUUGUCGACCCCGUCGGUCCCGCCCGUCCCGCCUGCC
rnacentral:tRNA from 1 species